CUACGGGUUGCUCCAGUGAGGAAUUUUGCACAAUGGGGGGAACCCUGAUGCAGCAACGCCGCGUGGAGGAUGACGCAUUUCGGUGUGUAAACUCCUUUUAUAUGUCAAGAAAAUGACGGUAGCAUAUGAAUAAGCACCGGCUAACUCCGUGCCAGCGCCGCGGUAAUACGGAGGGUGCAAGCGUUACUCGGAAUCACUGGGCGUAAAGGACGCGUAGGCGGGUUGGAAAGUCAGGUGUGAAAUCCUACAGCUUAACUGUAGAACUGCACUUGAAACUUCUAAUCUAGAGUAUGGGAGGGGGAGAUGGAAUUAGUGGUGUAGGGGUAAAAUCCGUAGAUAUCACUAGGAAUACCUAAAGCGAAGGCGAUCUCCUGGAACAUUACUGACGCUAAGGCGUGAAAGCGUGGGGAGCAAACAGGAUUAGAUACCCCAGUAGUC
rnacentral:rRNA from 1 species